UCCCUGGCGGUCCAGUGGUUAGGACUCCGCACUGUCACGGCUGAGGGCCCAGGUUCAAACCCUGGCCAGGGAA